rnacentral:rRNA from 1 species
AGAGUUAUCUGAACCUUCGGGGAACGAUAACGGCGUCGAGCGGCGGACGGGUGAGUAAUGCCUAGGAAAUUGCCCUGAUGUGGGGGAUAACCAUUGGAAACGAUGGCUAAUACCGCAUGAUGCCUACGGGCCAAAGAGGGGGACCUUCGGGCCUCUCGCGUCAGGAUAUGCCUAGGUGGGAUUAGCUAGUUGGUGAGGUAAGGGCUCACCAAGGCGACGAUCCCUAGCUGGUCUGAGAGGAUGAUCAGCCACACUGGAACUGAGACACGGUCCAGACUCCUACGGGAGGCAGCAGUGGGGAAUAUUGCACAAUGGGCGCAAGCCUGAUGCAGCCAUGCCGCGUGUGUGAAGAAGGCCUUCGGGUUGUAAAGCACUUUCAGUCGUGAGGAAGGUGGUAUCGUUAAUAGCACUAUCAUUUGACGUUAGCGACAGAAGAAGCACCGGCUAACUCCGUGCCAGCAGCCGCGGUAAUACGGAGGGUGCGAGCGUUAAUCGGAAUUACUGGGCGUAAAGCGCAUGCAGGUGGUUUGUUAAGUCAGAUGUGAAAGCCCGGGGCUCAACCUCGGAAUAGCAUUUGAAACUGGCAGACUAGAGUACUGUAGAGGGGGGUAGAAUUUCAGGUGUAGCGGUGAAAUGCGUAGAGAUCUGAAGGAAUACCGGUGGCGAAGGCGGCCCCCUGGACAGAUACUGACACUCAGAUGCGAAAGCGUGGGGAGCAAACAGGAUUAGAUACCCUGGUAGUCCACGCCGUAAACGAUGUCUACUUGGAGGUUGUGGCCUUGAGCCGUGGCUUUCGGAGCUAACGCGUUAAGUAGACCGCCUGGGGAGUACGGUCGCAAGAUUAAAACUCAAAUGAAUUGACGGGGGCCGCACAAGCGGUGGAGCAUGUGGUUUAAUUCGAUGCACGCGAAGACCUUACCUACUCUUGACAUCAGAGACUUUCAGAGAUGAUGGUGCCUCGGACUCUGAGACAGUGCUGCAUGCCUGUCGUCAGCUCGUGUGUGAAUGUGGCUUAGUCCGCACGAGCGCAUCCUAUCCUGUGCAGCAGAUAGUCGAUCAGGAGACUGCUGUGUAUAAAC